CAAUGGUGCGAAGCUACCAUCUGAGGGAUUAUGACUGAACGCCUCUAAGUCAGAAUCCCGCCUGGAAAGCGACGAUGCAUUCGUGCCUCGGCCUCGAGAGGCGUAGCUAGACGGCCGCGUGGCCGUGGAAAGAGCCCGAUUCCGACCCGAGAGGCCGCGGCAAGAGGCGGCCUCGAAGUCGGUGGAUCCUCCUGCUCGAAAGGCGGGGUGCUAAACCAUUCGCAGACGACCUAGUUGAAGAUCGGGGUGUCGUGAUCACUAGAGCAGUACAUCUCACUGCGAUUUGUUGAGAGUAAGCCUCAAGAUCUGUCGGUUUGU
rnacentral:ncRNA from 1 species